rnacentral:rRNA from 1 species
GUGGGGAAUAUUGGACAAUGGGCGCAAGCCUGAUCCAGCAAUGCCGCGUGGGUGAAGAAGGUCUUCGGAUCGUAAAGCUCUUUCGUUAGGGACGAACGUGCUCUUUGUGAAUAAUGAGGAGUAAUGACGGUACCUAAAUAAGAAGCCACGGCUAACUACGUGCCAGCAGCCGCGGUAAUACGUAGGGUGCGAGCGUUAAUCGGAAUUACUAGGCGUAAAGCGUGCGCAGGCGGUUUUGUAAGACAGGCGUGAAAUCCCCGGGCUCAACCUGGGAAUGGCGCGUGUGACUGCAAAGCUGGAGUGCGGCAGAGGGGGAUGGAAUUCCGCGUGUAGCAGUGAAAUGCGUAGAUAUCGGGAGGAACACCAGUGGCGAAGGCGACUUCCUGGCACAAUACUGACGCUCAUGUGCGAAAGCUAGGGUAGCGAACGGGAUUAGAAACCCCUGUAGUCC